CGCCCUGGGUGCUCAGUAAAUCAUUUUGUUUAUGACGCUGCCAAAUCAAGCUUGCAAAGGAAUUUAGAGGCAAAGUAAGAAAAAAUAGUGGCUGGUCUCCAGCUCCCAGAAGAUGCCAGAAGAUGCUUCAGACAGGAUCCUAGCGAAGAGUGGAGUCUGCAGGCGAGAAAAUUGCCAAUCUGACUAGAUCCUGAGAACAGUUCAAGACAGUCUAUCCAAGGGACCUCGAAUUUGACUGGGAGUCAGCAAGAGCUCUGCACAGCACUUCACGUGUCUGCGGCCAAGACAUUCCAGAAAGGAGAGUGCAUCUUGGCAUGGAUAAGGAGAAGAUGAAUGUGAAGCUGGCCACCCUGAAUACCCCCUACCCCCUGGGUAGAAAAAAUUCCAGACAUUGCUGAAGAGAGAGGUAUUUUUUUUUCAUUCAAAAGUAGGGAACUGGUGGUGGAAAGUUCCUUUGUUAGUCUCUGAGUCAUCGAGUCUUCUAAGGGGCUCUCUCUGUUUGUGUGCU
rnacentral:lncRNA from 1 species